rfam:Canis lupus familiaris chromosome 6, whole genome shotgun sequence.
GCUCGGGUGGCUCAGUGGUUGAGCAUCUGCCUUUGACUCAGGUCUGAUCCCGGGGAUCCUGGGAUCGAGUCCCACAUCGGGCU